GACAGAGGGUGCAAACGUUGCUCGGAAUUACUGGGCGUAAAGCGCGUGUAGGCUGCUCCGCAAGUCGGAUGUGAAAGCCCUGGGCUCAACCUAGGAAGUGCAUUCGAAACUGCAGAGCUGGAGUCCUGGAGAGGAAGGCGGAAUUCUCGGUGUAGAGGUGAAAUUCGUAGAUAUCGAGAGGAACACCGGUGGCGAAGGCGGCCUUCUGGACAGUGACUGACGCUGAGACGCGAAAGCGUGGGGAGCAAACAGG
rnacentral:rRNA from 1 species